rnacentral:lncRNA from 1 species
GGUUUCUCGGUUGGAGUAGGUUCUUAAGAACCAAAGAUGGGUAUAGCUCUGCAUAAGUCAUAGGAAUCGGGUCAAAAGAGACCUUCUUCCUCUCAAAGUUUUGUUGAAUUUGUGGCGGGUUUCUCGGUUGGAGUAGGUUCUUAAGAACCAAAGAUGGGUAUAGCUCUGCAUAAGUCAUAGGAAUCGGGUCAAAAGAGACCUUCUUCCUCUCAAAGUUUUGUUGAUGAUGAUUGU